UAAAGAUGCUUGUGCACUAAAUUCAGGUCUGUAUUCAGGAAUACGUGUCACUGUUUUCCGUGGCUCUGUCAGUCUCUCUGAUUUGAUCCAGGAAAUUAACAAAGGGAGACCAGGUGAAAACUAAGCUCGGCAUCUGUCAAAAGUCCAAGGAUGAGGAAAGCAUCACCAGACCCGACAGGAUCAUGUAUCUGCAAAAGGAUUUCCAUCGCCGCAAAUCAGCAGCACACUUCAGCUUGUGUUGUUCAGCUUUAACCUGGAAUAAUAUUCACAUUUAUCAUUUAGCAUGCGUAUUAUAACAAGUGCCUUGGUUUCUGGUUCUGGAUUAGUGAAGAGCUUGUGGAAGAGAUGUGUUGUCAUCUGUUUCCUGAAGAUAGAGAUGCUCUCAUCAGAUCAGAUGAAGGCUUCUGAGGGAACCGCUAGGUGGCGCUCAUUCAUUGUUAAACUUUCUCUAUACAUUUAUUCAGUUCAACAAUAACCUACUUUUACUAUUCAGUUAUCUCGAAGAAUUCAUAGAACAAAUGCUUUGUGACAAUAAGCAGGAAUUUCACACUCAAUCCAUCAGUAAGCUUGAGUUUACACAGAUCUAAAGUGUAUCAAACCUUUAAAACAAAAUUACAUGAGUUCUCAGGACAGUCAUUAUUUAAUUUAUGAAAUCUAUUAAUGGACAGGUUCCAUGUGAAGAAGAUCUGCACUACUCUUAUUGUACUUGACUUGUCAUGCACAUCAUCAAUGUACUGUAUUUGCACAUUAUAAUGUGAAAAGUGUGAAAAUUUGCAAGCAUUGUUUUGCCUCAAAACAAACUUUGUAUGAUCGUAAUUCAGCUCAGAACUGGAGAAUUUAGUUCAAAAGAAAUUAUUAGAAAUUUUUAAGAUGAAACUGAAUGGGGAAAAUACUUCCAUAUUUUAUGAAUCUGAUUGUCACUUUUGCACUUUUUUCAUGUCUGCAUGUUUGUAUACGUUGCUUUUAAUAACAGAAUUUAAAUAAAUUUAACAAAUGAUGUUUUAAGUAAA